rnacentral:misc_RNA from 1 species
AACGCAUAGCAUUAACCCGAGCUUCCUUUCUAUCAAUUUUGUAAGCUUCCAACAAAGCAGUGCAGCAGGAUGCAGGAACAGGAGAAGAUGGCAGCUCACGAAGAACAUGCUUAACGCAGUCACCAAUUACAUGGGCAUCCUCCUCCAGAACAAAUUCAGUUUUUCCUUGUUCAUACUCGUUUACUCUCCGCCCCACUUCCUCGACAUCUGCAGAUUGUCGCAAUAUACCUUCGACCUUGGUUCCAUACUUCUCAAGGAACCUUA